GUAUCCAUUGGAGGGCAAGUCUGGUGCCAGCAGCCGCGGUAAUUCCAGCUCCAAAAGUAUAUAUUUAAGUUGUUGCGGUUAAAAAGCUCGUAGUUGGAUUUUGGGCGCAGGCGGCCGGUCCGUCGCAAGGUGUGUACUGGACGUCCUGGCCUUCCCUCCGGUUCUCCGCCGGUGCUCUUGACUGAGUGUCGGCGGCGGCCGGAACGUUUACUUUGAAAAAAUUAGAGUGUUCAAAGCAGGCUCUCGAGCCUGGAUAAUGGUGCAUGGAAUAAUGGAAUAGGACCUCGGUUCUAUUUUGUUGGUUUUCGGAGCGCGAGGUAAUGAUUAAGAGGGACAGACGGGGGCAUUCGUACUGUGCCGUUAGAGGUGAAAUUCUUGGAUCGGCGCAAGACGAACGACUGCGAAAGCAUUUGCCAAGAAUGUUUUCUUUAAUCAAGAGCGAAAGUCAGAGGUUCGAAGACGAUCAGAUACCGUCCUAGUUCUGACUAUAAACGAUGCCAACUAGCGAUCGGGGGGCGUUACAUUGACGACCCCUCCGGCAGCUUACGGGAAACCAAAGUCUUUGGGUUCCGGGGGAAGUAUGGUUGCAAAGCUGAAACUUAAAGGAAUUGACGGAAGGGCACCACCAGGAGUGGAGCCUGCGGCUUAAUUUGACUCAACACGGGAAAUCUCACCCGGCCCGGACACAGUGAGGAUUGACAGAUUGAGAGCUCUUUCUUGAUUCUGUGGGUGGUGGUGCAUGGCCGUUCUUAGUUGGUGGAGCGAUUUGUCUGGUUAAUUCCGAUAACGAACGAGACUCUGGCUUGCUAAAUAGUUACGCGACCAUCCCCGGUCGGCGU
rnacentral:ncRNA from 1 species